GUGCCAGCAGCCGCGGUAAUACGUAGGCAGCGAGCGUUGUUCGGAGUUACUGGGCGUAAAGGGUGUGUAGGCGGUCCUCUAAGUUCGGUGUGAAAUCUCCCGGCUCAACUGGGAGGGUGCGCCGGAAACUGGAAGGCUUCGAGUGCGGGAUGGGAGAGUGGAAUUCCUGGUGUAGCGGUGAAAUGCGUAGAUAUCAGGAGGAACACCUGUGGUGUAGACGGCUCUCUGGACCGUAACUGACGCUGAGACACGAAAGCGUGGGUAGCAAACAGGAUUAGAAACCCUGGUAGUCC
rnacentral:rRNA from 1 species